GGGCCCGCACAAGCGGUGGAGUAUGUGGUUUAAUUCGAUGCAACGCGAAGAACCUUACCAGGGUUUGACAUCCUGCGAAUCUCUUGGAAACGAGAGAGUGCCUUCGGGAACGCAGUGACAGGUGGUGCAUGGCUGUCGUCAGCUCGUGUCGUGAGAUGUUGGGUUAAGUCCCGCAACGAGCGCAACCCACGUCGUUAGUUGCCAGCAUUUAGUUGGGCACUCUAGCGAGACCGCCGGUGAUAAACCGGAGGAAGGUGUGGAUGACGUCAAGUCAUCAUGCCCCUUACAUCCUGGGCUACACACGUGCUACAAUGGCGAUGACAGUGGGCAGCGACCCCGCAAGGGUGAGCUAA
rnacentral:rRNA from 1 species